AUUGAACGCUGGCGGCAGGCCUAACACAUGCAAGUCGAACGAGUGGCGGACGGGUGAGUAAUGUCUGGGAAACUGCCCGAUGGAGGGGGAUAACUACUGGAAACGGUAGCUAAUACCGCAUACCAUCGGAUGUGCCCAGAUGGGCAGAGCUAGUAGGUGGGGUAACGGCUCACCUAGGCGACGAUCCCUAGCUGGUCUGAGAGGCUGACCAGCCACACGGGAACGGGAACACGGUCCAGACUCCGACGGGAGGCAGCAGUGGGGAAUAGUGCACAAUGGUGGAAACCCGGAUGCAGCAACGCCGCGUGCGGGAGGACGGCAUUCUGGUUGGAAACCGCUUUCAGCCAUGACGCGGUAGUGGCAGAAGAAGCACCGGCUAACUACGUGCCAGCAGCCGCGGUAAUUC
rnacentral:rRNA from 1 species